AUGGGGGCGCGGAGGAUGCCAUGCGGCUGGAGACUGCUCUUCUUCCUCGGGUUGCUUGCCGAGGUCCAUGGCUCUUCGUCUCCGGGGGUUAAGGCAGUAGCUGAUGCUCUCCCUCCUACCUCUAGGCUCUUCCCUGCUGAAGUGCGCACUCUUCGCCGGAUCGCGGCAAAUAUGGGGAUAUCACAUUGGAACUUCUCCGCCAAUCCAUGUGGCUCCGGCGGCGGCUUGGAGUGUGACUGCUCCUUCAACAACAAUACCAUGUGCCAUGCCACUGAGAUAUUCCUCAGGGGCCAGAACUUCACCGGCCAGCUCCCACCAGAUUUUGCUGAUCUCCCUAAUCUCCUCCAGCUAGACCUAAGCAGGAGCUUGUUCCAUGGCACGGUGCCUGACCGGUGGGCCCGGAUGAAGUUGCAAGGACUGUCACUAAUGGGAAACAGAUUGUCAGGGCCUUUUCCCAUGGCUCUUACGAGAAUCACAACCUUGACUAACCUGAGCAUUGAAGCAAAUGAGUUCCGUGGGCAAAUCCCAGUUGAAAUUGGGCAUCUCAUGCAACUGGAGAAGCUGAUAAUAUCAACCAACGAGUUCACUGGACCCCUGCCGGCUGCUCUUUCCUUGCUGACCAAUUUGACCGACUUAAGGAUUUCUGGAAACAAUUUAUCUGGAAGAGUUCCUGAUUUCUUGGCUAAACUGACAAAGCUUGGAAAACUGCAAAUCGAAGGAUCUUUGCUGGAAGGGCCUAUUCCCCUGGGCUUAUCCAAAUUGACAAACCUUUCUGAUCUGAGAAUUAGUGAUCUGAGAGGCAGUGGAUCAGUUUUCCCGGAUCUAAGAGGAAUGCAAUCGAUGAAAGCAUUGGUCCUUAGGAAUUGUUCAAUCAGCGGGGGAAUCCCUUCUUACAUAUGGAGCAUGGAAAAUCUCACGCAUCUGGAUCUGAGCUUUAAUGAACUGACAGGAAAAGUAACAGAUUCGUUCACUAAUAGGGGAACCGUAGAUUACAUAUAUCUAACUGGAAAUUCACUCACUGGGAACAUACCUGAUUGGCUAUUGCGAAGCAACAGCAUUGUGGACCUCUCUUUUAAUAAUUUCACAAUUGGGAGCUCAGGUCGUCCUACUCAAUGUCAAGGGAGCGCCAAUCUAGUGGAGAGUUAUUCACCUGAAAUGAACAGCUUAAAUAAUGUCCAGCCAUGCUUGAAGAAGAACUUCCCAUGUGCUUCGAAUGGACAAUACAGAUCAUCCUUGCAUAUCAAUUGUGGAGACAAAGAAGCAAUUGUCAAUGGCGUAAAAUAUGAAGGUGACACCACACCAAAAGGUGCUUCCAUGUUGUAUGUAAGCCCAGAUAACUGGGCAUUCAGCAGCACUGGGAACUUCAUGGACGACAACAUCAAUGAUGACAACUACAUUGUGUCAAGCACAUCAAAACUGACCAUGCCCAACUCCAAGUUGUAUGCAAGAGCACGCCUUUCUCCUCUUUCGCUCACAUAUUAUGGGCUUUGUAUGCAUAAUGGGAGCUACACAGUUAAACUCCAUUUUGCCGAAAUUAUAUUUACCAAUGACAGCACAUACUACAGCCUUGGCAAAAGAAAAUUCAAUGUGUUCAUACAGGGAAGAAUGGUGCUAGAGGAUUUUGAUAUUGAGAAAUCUGCUGGUGGGGCUGGAAAGCUAGUCAUCAAGACUUUCAUAACGUAUGUCACAAAUCAUACACUGGAAAUUCAAUUCUAUUGGGCAGGAAGAGGGACAACAGGCAUUCCAAAAAGAGGAUUCUACGGCCCUCUAAUAUCUGCAAUAUCAGUAACUCCAAACUUCCAAAUUCCUUUGGCUGUUGAACCUCCCCGUAGUGGCAGUGGCACAAAUACUUCCAGGACAUCUAAAGCUUUGCUGAUUGGAGCCCCAAUUAUUGCGAUAUUCACUGCUCUUGUUGUUGGCAUCUACUGGAUUAAGCGACGACGGAAGAACUUGGUGAAUCAAGAUCUCCGGGCACUUGACCUCCAAAUUGGCUCAUUUACCUUGAGACAAAUCAAAGCAGCAACUAGGAACUUUGAUCCAGCCAACAAGAUUGGCGAAGGUGGUUUUGGUUCAGUUUACAAGGGUUCGUUGUCCGAUGGCACCAUUAUUGCUGUCAAACAGCUAUCAUCAAAGUCCAAGCAAGGGAAUCGUGAAUUUGUGAAUGAGAUAGGCAUGAUAUCUGCACUCCAGCAUCCAAACCUUGUCAGGCUGUAUGGCUGUUGUACAGAGGGAAACCAGCUCUUGCUAGUUUACGAGUACAUGGAAAAUAAUUGCCUUGCGCGUGCUCUCUUUGUUGAAGAAUAUAGACUGGCAUUGGAUUGGCCAACAAGACGUAAGAUUUGCCUGGGAAUAGCAAGGGGUCUGGCAUAUCUGCAUGAGGAGUCUGCAAUAAGGAUUGUGCACCGAGAUAUCAAGGCUAGCAAUAUACUGCUUGACAAAGAUUUGGAUGCUAAGAUCUCAGAUUUUGGUCUAGCAAAGCUUAAUGAAGAUGGUCACACCCACAUAAGCACAAAAGUAGCUGGAACUAUUGGAUACAUGGCUCCUGAGUAUGCAAUGCGUGGUUAUUUGACAGACAAAGCUGAUGUUUACAGUUUUGGGGUUGUUGCUUUGGAAAUUGUGAGUGGAAAAAGCAACACAAACUACAGGCCAAAAGAAGAUUUUGUUUAUCUUCUCGAUUGGGCUUGUGUUUUACAUGAGAGAGGAACUCUCCUGGAGCUGGUAGAUCCAGACUUAGGAUCCAAUUACUCAACAGAAGAGGCACUCCUCAUGCUGAAUGUGGCUCUCUUAUGCACCAACGCAGCACCUACACUUAGACCAAAGAUGUCCAAUGCUGUGAGCCUGCUCGAGGGCCAUACCCCCCUGCAACCCUUCCUAUCAGAACUCAGCCUUGCUGCAAACAGCCUGAGCUCAAGUGGUCUACGCAGAAAUUUCUGGGAAAAUCCAAAUGAGAGCCAGAGCAUAACGGCACAAGCAUCAUGUAACAACACCAGUGACUCGUCAUCUUUAGAUGUUGAUGGUAGCUUGAGACAUUUUGCGACUUAA
rnacentral:rRNA from 1 species